rnacentral:misc_RNA from 1 species
GUUACUUUAUGGUUUGUUACAUUCUGGACUGGUAGUUGUAUGUGAAAGGCGGAAGCGGCCUGUGAGGGUCGCAACCGAAAUGUGCACAGGGUGUGAGAGUUUCGACAGCGUGCAGCCGAAGCGCACAGCUGAAGAGGUUUGGGGCCCGAGGGCCGAAUCUUUAAUGAUCCUUCCGCAGGUUCACCUACGGAAA